rnacentral:lncRNA from 1 species
GUCUCUUAAGAGAUAUUUAUGGACUUAUUUUCACACUUUUGCAUUUUCCUUUUCUUCUAGUUGAGAAGUAGCAAAUACGAAGUGACAACUACAUUACUGUACAUGGAGUUAUUUACAGACCGAGAUGAUUGGUUUCCUAAUGAUCAUUUCAUAAGCUGGAAAUAAAUUUGGAGAAGAAACCGUAUCAGAACUGCUUUAGUUCAUCUUACUGCCCUGAUGCUAUGAGCAAAAGCAAGCCGUGUCUACAAACCAUCUGAAUGUGAAAAAUCUUUCUACUGAAGGCAAAAUCGAGAAUGGAUGAGCUGACGCUGCUGCCAUAUUUCUAGUGGCAACGACUCACUUGGCAACUCAGGAAGCUACCGUUGUCCAUGAAUUUCGGAGAAUGCCCAGCGGCCCCACA